UACAGAGGGUGCGAGCGUUAAUCGGAAUUACUGGGCGUAAAGCGUGCGUAGACGGCUAUCUAAGUCGGGUGUGAAAGCCCCGGGCUCAACCUGGGAAUUGCAUUCGAGACUGAAUAGCUAGGGUGCGGUAGAGGGAAGCGGAAUUUCCGGUGUAGCGGUGAAAUGCGUAGAUAUCUGGAGGAACACCGGUGGCGAAGGCGGCAUCCUGGACCAACACUGACACUGAGGAGCGAAAGCCAGGGGAGCAAACGGG
rnacentral:rRNA from 1 species